rnacentral:rRNA from 1 species
UCGAGAAUUUUUCACAAUGGGCGCAAGCCUGAUGGAGCGACGCCGCGUGGGGGAUGAAGGGUUCCGAUCCGUAAACCCCUGUCAUUUGCGAACAAACCUUGAUUGUGAAUAGCGAUCGAGCUGAUUGUAGCGGAAGAGGAAGGGACGGCUAACUCUGUGCCAGCAGCCGCGGUAAUACAGAGGUCCCAAGCGUUGUUCGGAUUCACUGGGCGUAAAGGGUGCGUAGGUGGUCGGUGAAGUUCGGUGUGAAAGCUCGGAGCUCAACUCCGAAAAGGCAUUGAAAACUCAUCGGCUGGAGGGUGGGAGGGGAGACUGGAAUUCUCGGUGUAGCAGUGAAAUGCGUAGAUAUCGAGAGGAACACCAGUGGCGAAGGCGAGUCUCUGGACGACUCCUGACACUGAGGCACGAAAGCCAGGGGAGCAAACAG